rnacentral:rRNA from 1 species
UAGGGAAUCUUCGGCAAUGGACGAAAGUCUGACAGAGCAACGCCGCGUGAGUGAAGAAGGUUUUCGGAUCGUAAAACUCUGUUGUUAGAGAAGAACAAGGACGUUAGUAACUGAACGUCCCCUGACGGUAUCUAACCAGAAAGCCACGGCUAACUACGUGCCAGCAGCCGCGGUAAUACGUAGGUGGCAAGCGUUGUCCGGAUUUAUUGGGCGUAAAGCGAGCGCAGGCGGUUUCUUAAGUCUGAUGUGAAAGCCCCCGGCUCAACCGGGGAGGGUCAUUGGAAACUGGGAGACUUGAGUGCAGAAGAGGAGAGUGGAAUUCCAUGUGUAGCGGUGAAAUGCGUAGAUAUAUGGAGGAACACCAGUGGCGAAGGCGGCUCUCUGGUCUGUAACUGACGCUGAGGCGCGAAAGCGUGGGGAGCAAACAGG